rnacentral:misc_RNA from 1 species
AAUCGCUUUUCAGCUGAGCUUCCGUUUCCUCGAAAAAUGUUCUCAAAAAUACACUGCCCAAUAGAAACCGACGAGUUUUGAACUUUGCGGGGAUGUCAGGUCGCUGGAGAGAUGUUUGCACAAAUGUUUCUGAGCACACACACGAAAAUCUUUGCAAUUGAGAUGCAAAUUGAAUUAUUGUUUGAAUUCUGGCUUUGUUUACGCCGCUUGUUCGAUAAACAUCGGGGCGAAAUGCAGUCAGUGAUAUGUUUGCUGUUGUGUUUGUCGUGUGCUUUAGCUUUUUGUAAAUAUAAACAAAGUCCGGGGACGGGGCGGGAGCGGUGAUGUCGCGGCGGCGGUUGGCGCAAAUAAAAGUUAAAAAUAAAAACUUAUAAUUGUCCGACGGCUGUUGUUAUUUUUAUUAUUGUUGCCAUUUAUUUUUGGAAAUAGACGUUGAAUUUGUUUAUAUGGAGUAAAAAUAAAUUAUUGCGCGUAGUGCGAGAGCAGCGGGCCAGCAUAAUUUCUCGCGGCGUUCGAUUUAAGAUUUCUAUCUGUUGUGAAUCGCUAGCGGAAUCGGAUCGUUGGAUCUUUGGCUCGGAAUGAAAAUAUCGAACUCGCAAACGGAUCCCAAACUGAUCUGCCGAAAUCGAAUCGAAUCGAAAUCUCAAAAUCUCGAAAUCCCGAAAACCGAAAAACUGAAGAAGCGGCGCUGCGGACGCGUACAAACGUACUGACGGAUAUGCCGUCGUUGACGUCGUAACGCCAAGUACGCACACACAGAUACGCCCGCACACAACUGCACUGGCAGGCUCUCUCGUAGUCCCACACACAAACAGGCACAGCCACCAACGAACACAAUAUCGCACACACACAUCACACCAGAGAAUGAGAGAGCGGGAGAGAAAGGGAGUGCGCAGUCGCUGACUUUGAGUUCUUACUCACAACGAAAGCAAGACAAAAACUGAAGCCGUGGAAAACAAUACCAAGCAUCCUGGCUGGAGAAAAGGGAAGGGAAUGACUGGUGGGAAAAGCAGACAGGCAAACAGGCAGACACACGGAAAUUGACAACUCGCAGAGCAAUAAAGAAAAGUGUCCCACACACACACUCACACACAGCGGGAGAGAAAACGAGGAAAAGGGAAACCGGAGGGGGUGGCGACGGGCUGAUAAGUUUAUACAAUUUCCACCCACAGAACCUGAGUUAUGCCCCCACAUAACACAAUAUUUCCCUAAUGUCUUUAUUAUGUUCCAUUGAGUGUAAAUAUUUGCCUUGCACCCACACACCCAAACACAAACUUGCGCACGAGUGCGUGUGUGUUUGUUGGCCAGCUUUAUAAUACGAGGCACGUGCUUCAUAAGAAGGUGAAGCAAGCCGAAAAACAAAACAGGUU